rnacentral:lncRNA from 1 species
UUCACAAACAACAAUUUCUAUCCAUCACCAAUUGUCUUCAAUUCUUACUCACUAUAUGUAAUCCAACAGUAUGUUUCCUCCGUUACCUUUUCAAUAGCUUCUCCAACCUCAAUCGGUCGUGCUACUACGGUGAUGGCCUCGACAUGCUUCUCUGCCAAAUCUCUCUUUGUUUUAGAACCUUGUUAAUUCUUGAACAUUAUAUCCCCUAAUUACAUACAACAUGCCUAAACAACAAGCCAAAUAGCACAUAAAUAUAUUCCAUAUAGCAGCUAAAUAACACAAAAAACAAGAACCCAACACAAACAGAACAUGAUAGAUACAAAAUUGGGAGAAAAAUUGCACCCAAUAUAAUAUUAGUUGAAAAAGUCAUAGUUAAAUAGCCAGCCCACAAAAACAAUGUCUUCUAACUUGAAUCAAUUUUGCAAAUUAAAUUUUCUCAGACAUCUAUAAUGUAAGCAUACCUUAAUAACGACGGUUUGAGUUGUGACAGCACAACGCGAACGUUGUGACGAGCACGGUGACAAAAGAGUACGAAUUGUGAAAGAUUAAUUGAUGCGU